rnacentral:rRNA from 1 species
AGAUUGAACGCUGGCGGCAGGCCUAACACAUGCAAGUCGAGCGGUAGAGAGGUGCUUGCAUCUCUUGAGAGCGGCGGACGGGUGAGUAAUGCCUAGGAAUCUGCCUAGUGGUGGGGGAUAACGUUCGGAAACGGACGCUAAUACCGCAUACGUCCUACGGGAGAAAGCGGGGGACCUUCGGGCCUCGCGCCAUUAGAUGAGCCUAGGUCGGAUUAGCUAGUUGGUGAGGUAAUGGCUCACCAAGGCGACGAUCCGCAACUGGUCUGAGAGGAUGAUCAGUCACACUGGAACUGAGACACGGUCCAGACUCCUACGGGAGGCAGCAGUGGGGAAUAUUGGACAAUGGGCGAAAGCCUGAUCCAGCCAUGCCGCGUGUGUGAAGAAGGUCUUCGGAUUGUAAAAGCACUUUAAGUUGGAGGAAGGUUGUAACCUAAUACGUUGCAACUUUGACGUUACCGACAGAAUAAGCACGGCUAACUUCGUGCCAG